GCCGCUGUGGUGGAAUGGUAGACACGGGGGACUUAAAAUCCCCCGCCCGUUCUUUACGGGCGUGCUGGUUCAAGUCCAGCCAGCGGCA
rnacentral:tRNA from 1 species